rnacentral:rRNA from 1 species
UUCUGGUUGAUCCUGCCAGUAGUCAUAUGCUUGUCUCAAAGAUUAAGCCAUGCAUGUCUAAGUACAUACCGAAAUAAGGUGAAACCGCGAAUGGCUCAUUAAAUCAGUUACGGUUCCUUAGAUAUUGACUAUCUACAUGGAUAACUGUGGUAAUUCUAGAGCUAAUACAUGCAAAAAAUCCUCGACCUUCGGGAAGAGGAGCAUUUAUUAGACCAAGACCAAUGGGACCCUCGGGUUCCUCUGGGUGGUGACUCUGGAUAACUAUGCUAAUCGCAUGGCCUACGUACCGGCGACAUAUCCUUCAAGUGUCUGCCUUAUCAACUUUCGAUGGUACUUUAUGUGACUACCAUGGUUGUAACGGGUAACGGAGAAUAAGGGUUCGACUCCGGAGAGGGAGCCUGAGAAAUGGCUACCACAUCCAAGGAAGGCAGCAGGCGCGCAAAUUACCCACUCUCAGCACGAGGAGGUAGUGACGAAAAAUAACGAGACAGUUCUCUUUGAGGGGUCCGUCAUCGGAAUGGGUACAAUCUAAACCCAUUAACGAGUAUCAAUUGGAGGGCAAGUCUGGUGCCAGCAGCCGCGGUAAUUCCAGCUCCAAUAGCGUAUAUUAAAGUUGUUGCGGUUAAAAAGCUCGUAGUUGGAUCUCUGAUCUAGCACGCAGUGUGGCCUUUCGGCUACUACUGUGAUGCGGUACAUUAUCGUCAGUUUGUCGUUGAUGCUCUUCAUUGGGUGUCAGCGGCGGCUGUCAAGUUUACUUUGAACAAAUUAAAGUGCUCAAAACAGGCGUUUCGCUUGUAUAGUUUUGCAUGGAAUAAUAUAAUAGGACUUUUGUUCUAUUUUGUUGGGUUUUCAGAACGAAAGUAAUGAUUAAGAGGGACAGACGGGGUCAUUCGUACUGCCACGUUAGAGGUGAAAUUCUUGGAUCGUGGCAAGACGAACUACUGCGAAGGCAUUUGACAAGAAUGUUUUCAUUAAUCAAGAACGAAAGUUAUGGGUUCGAAGGCGAUCAGAUACCGCCCUAGUCAUAACCGUAAACGAUUUAGACUAGGCGUCUGCUCGGGUUUACUUUGACCGAGUAGAAGCCUUCCCGGAAACGAAAGUCUUCGUAUUCCGGGGGAAGUAUAGCUGCAAAGCCGAAACUUAAAGGAAUUGACGGAAGGGCACCACCAGGGGUGGAGCCUGCGGCUUAAUUUGACUCAACACGGGGAAACUCACCCGGCCCGGACACUAGUAGGAUCGACAGGUUGAGAGCUCUUUCUUGAUUUGGUGGGUGGUGGUGCAUGGCCGUUCUUAGUUGGUGGAGUGAUUUGUCUGGUUAAUUCCGAUAACGAACGAGACUCUGGCCUACUAACUAGUGUACAGAUCAUUAUGUCUGUCAUACUUCUUAGAGGGACAAACGGUGUUCAGCCGUAUGAAAAAGAGCAAUAACAGGUCUGUGAUGCCCUUAGAUGUCCGGGGCUGCACGCGCGCUACACUGAAGGAAUCAGCGUGUGGGAUAACCUGGCCCGAAAGGGUUGGGUAAUCCGGUGAAAAUCUUUCGUGAUUGGGAUCGGGACUUGCAAUUAUUUCCCUUGAACGAGGAAUCCCUAGUAAGUGCAGGUCAUCAGCUUGCGCUGAUUACGUCCCUGCCCUUUGUACACACCGCCCGUCGCUGCCCGGAACUGAACCAUUUCGAGAAAACUGGGGACUGACAUCUUGAGGCCUUCACGGGCUUCUAGUUGACGGAAACCGCUUUAAUCGCAGUGGUUUGAACCGGGCAAAAGUCGUAACAAGGUUUCCGUAGGUGAACCUGCG